AACGCGCUUUUCACGCACGAGCGAGCGCACACGAGCCGGGAAAAUUCGUUGAAGGCGUCGAGCCUGAGACACGUUAAAGGUCUUCAUCCGGCUGUGCACGGCUGGACGAGUGCGCGGCCGUCUGUAGUACGAGUGAAGGAUGUUACCAUCCAACUCUGAAGCUGCUGUUGCUGCCUCGGAGAAGCUCUUCUCGCAGACAUUCUCACACGCUCGACGACAACAACGACAACGACUCCGACAACGACGACUACGAUUGCAUGACGCAUCAUGCGAAAUUAUUUGAACCUGCCGUGAAACAACACGUCAAGAUGAAAAGAUAUAAGGAUAAUAAUGAUAAUGACGACGACGACGACGACGACAAGGAAAAGGACAAGGAUGCCUGGAUUUAGAAAAGAAGAAUUGAUCGAUAUCAUCGACGAUACGAGCUCUAUCAAUCCUUUAAUAAUUAUCGAAAGUCCUUUGAUUGUUUAAUUAACUUUUAAUUAAUUAAACAUUUUUUCUUUAGAAUCUUGCUUUCUAAUAAAAUUAAAAGAUUACUUUAUCAAUCGCGCGAAUAUUACGAUACGAUGUAACAAUAAA